CGAGAGAUCGAUAUAACAAUAACCAAGCUAAUUUUAGAUUAGACGGACUGACAGUCCGCCUACGAUGGUCGGUUGCCCUGAUGUUCCGCCAAAAACAGGGCUCAUAUCACCCAAUAAUGCCCCAAUCUCUACACAGAUGUACCCACACAAACAUGAACCACCAAAUCACGAUCACCGGAAAAUCACGCAACCUUCCUCUCCAUGCUGCAUUUGAUCCAAGACAACCUCUGAUUCUUUAUUUUUUUCCUUUUUGAAAUGAGAAAUAUCUGAACUUAGGGCAUGCUGCUUUUGAUCCAAGAAAAACUCACCCAAAUCUGUCCAUCAGGUGCACUCAGUCUUCUUUUAUUUGUUGAAGGAAGAAAUAAUCCAUCUCACUUUCUAUUUAUGUCAUCAUAUUCUAAAACUGAAUUGUGUUUCUUUUUUAUUUUUUUUAAAAGAGUAGGUUAAAGGUCUAUCUACGUAUGAAAUUAAGUGAAUAAAAUGCAUAAAAUAAACAAUUUAACAUACACGAAAACAGCAAAAAAACAUCUAACCACACAAUAAAAGCGACCAUAAACAAACACCUAUGACCUACCCACACAAUGCAAUGAAAGUGACCAUACAAUUGCAGUGACCAACACAACAUAGUGAGU
rnacentral:lncRNA from 1 species